rnacentral:misc_RNA from 1 species
AAGUCGUAACAAGGUUUCCGUAGGUGAACCUGCGGAAGGAUCAUUAACACGUAUCCAACGUUAAACAACCCUGUGAACUUUCAACCCCGCCGGAAUGGGAUUAAUUUCCAACUCCGGCGAAGACAAGUGACCUGGCACCUGACCUCAUCAAAGCUCUGACAGCGUGCCUCUGGAUGCUUAAUGGAAGGGUGACGCAGUAACGAUCGCUGGAGGCCCACACGGCCGGCGACCGGGUCAGCGGCAUUCUUUAAUGCCCCUUAAAACCACUUAACAUGACGACAGUUCCUCUUUAACUUGAGUUGAGCUAUAACAAAAAACUAAUACAACUGUUAACAAUGGAUAUCUUGGUUCUC